UACGUAGGGGGCUAGCGUUGUCCGGAUUUAUUGGGCGUAAAGAGCGUGUAGGCGGCCAGGUAGGUCUGGUGUGAAAACUCGAGGCUUAACCUCGAGAUGUCAUCGGAAACCAUCUGGCUAGAGUUCGGAAGAGGCGAGUGGAAUUCCCGGUGUAGCGGUGAAAUGCGCAGAUAUCGGGAGGAACACCUAUGGCGAAGGCAGCUCGCUGGGACGUUACUGACGCUGAGACGCGAAAGCGUGGGGAGCAAACAGG
rnacentral:rRNA from 1 species